rnacentral:pre_miRNA from 1 species
UUUUUAGCAUAAAUAUGCCUUAUGCAAUAUUUGGGACAUACUUAUACUAAAA